AUUGAACGCUGGCGGCAUGCCUUACACAUGCAAGUCGAACGGUAACAGGUUAAGCUGACGCGUGGCGAACGGGUGCGUAAUACAUCGGAACGUGCCCAGACGUGGGGGAUAGCUCGGCGAAAGCCGGAUUAAUACCGCAUAAGCUCUGAGGAGGAAAGCGGGGGACCGUCAGGCCUCGCCGGGUUGGGGCGGCCGAUGGCAGAUUAGGUAGUUGGUGGGGUAAAGGCUUACCAAGCCUACGAUCUGUAGCUGGUCUAAGAGGACGACCAGCCACACUGGGACUGAGACACGGCCCAGACUCCUACGGGAGGCAGCAGUGGGGAAUUUUGGACAAUGGGCGAAAGCCUGAUCCAGCAAUGCCGCGUGCAGGAUGAAGGCCUUCGGGUUGUAAACUGCUUUUGUACGGAACGAAAAGGCGCCUACUAAUACUGGGUGUUGAUGACGGUACCGUAAGAAUAAGCACCGGCUAACUACGUGCCAGCCGCCGCCGUAACAC
rnacentral:rRNA from 1 species